rnacentral:rRNA from 1 species
GACGAACGCUGGCGGCGUGCCUAAUACAUGCAAGUUGAGCGAUGAAGAUUGGUGCUUGCACCAAUUUGAAGAGCAGCGAACGGGUGAGUAACGCGUGGGGAAUCUGCCUUUGAGCGGGGGACAACAUUUGGAAACGAAUGCUAAUACCGCAUAAUAACUUUAAACAUAAGUUUUAAGUUUGAAAGAUGCAAUUGCAUCACUCAAAGAUGAUCCCGCGUUGUAUUAGCUAGUUGGUGAGGUAAAGGCUCACCAAGGCGAUGAUACAUAGCCGACCUGAGAGGGUGAUCGGCCACAUUGGGACUGAGACACGGCCCAAACUCCUACGGGAGGCAGCAGUAGGGAAUCUUCGGCAAUGGACGAAAGUCUGACCGAGCAACGCCGCGUGAGUGAAGAAGGUUUUCGGAUCGUAAAACUCUGUUGGUAGAGAAGAACGUUGGUGAGAGUGGAAAGCUCAUCAAGUGACGGUAACUACCCAGAAAGGGACGGCUAACUACGUG